GAUACCCGUCAAGUGGCCGCCAUUUCUUUCUCAUAUCAUGGCUGCCCUCUGCCUUUGGUGAAGCCGAUGAUCAUCAAAAAGAAGACCAAUGAGUUUAUCCAUCAUAUGUUAGACUGGUAAGUCAAAAUUAAACAGAAACCCUGAGGUAUGGACAAUAAGUUAUGGAGACAUUUAAGGGCCAGAUCCUGAUGGUCCACACCAGUUAGGGAAGCAAUAUGAAAACAAAUCAUUAUCCCCUUAGCAGCUUCUGGAAAUUUCUAGUCCAUAAGGUCAAGGAACUGGAAGUGUUGCUGACGCUCAUGAAAUCUUACUGUGCUGAGAUCUCUUACAACAUUCCCUCCAAGAACGGCAAAGCCAACAUAGAACCGUACAGCUAGUCAUCGGAGUCACUAAUCCCAAUGCCAGGCUGUGCACUGGAAAAAAAAAAUGAGUAG
rnacentral:lncRNA from 1 species